GGCUCAGUAGCUCAGUUGGUUAGAGUAGGGGACUCAUAAGCCCUUGGUCGUCAGUUCGAGUCUGACCUGAGCCACUA
rnacentral:tRNA from 1 species